rnacentral:rRNA from 1 species
GGAUGAAGGCCUAUGGGUUGUAAACUGCGGUAGAUAGGUAACAACGUAAGUGAGUGCCUAUCGGAAAGAGGUGGGUAACUACGUGCCAGCACCAGCGGUAAUACGUAGACCUCAAGCGUUAUCCGGAUUUAUUGGGCGUAAAGCGCGUGUAGGAGGCCAGGUGCGUCUUUUGUUAAAGCCCACCGCCUAACGGUGGAAGUGCAAAAGAUACGACUUGGCUAGAGGAGGUUAGAGGUGAGUGGAACGCACGGUGUAGGGGUGAAAUCCGUUGAUAUCGUGCGGAACACCAAAGGCGAAGGCAGCUCACUGGGGCCUUCCUGACUCUGAGACGCGAAAGCGUGGGGAGCAAAAAGGAUUAGAUACCCGUGUAGUCC